rnacentral:rRNA from 1 species
AUGUGGCUCAGGCCAGCCACCGCGGCCAAGAACAGGAAAGCAACACUUGGGUGUGAGGCGGAUGGAGAAGAGGAGAAGAGGAGGAGGAGCAACGAUGGGUGGUCAGGCAGCAGGAGGAAGAUGGAGGCGGAGCGGCGCUUGGGUGAUGAGGAAUGGCGACGUGUUGUGGAUAAGAAGGGGCACGCAGUGGGUGGUGACAUCGGUGGGGAUUUGGUGGUGCCUCUUGCUUUUUUUAAUCAACUGUGGACUAGAAGCUGCUGGAUGCAGACGUGGUCAUCCGAGCGACAUCACCAAGGAACAAUUCCAGCCACAUCUUGCUAA